rnacentral:rRNA from 1 species
GAUGAACGCUGGCGGCGUGCCUAAUACAUGCAAGUCGAGCGAACAGACGAGGAGCUUGCUCCUCUGACGUUAGCGGCGGACGGGUGAGUAACACGUGGAUAACCUACCUAUAAGACUGGGAUAACUUUGGGAAACCGGAGCUAAUACCGGAUAAUAUAUUGAACCGCAUGGUUCAAUAGUGAAGGACGGUUUUGCUGUCACUUAUAGAUGGAUCCGCGCCGCAUUAGCUAGUUGGUAAGGUAACGGCUUACCAAGGCGACGAUGCGUAGCCGACCUGAGAGGGUGAUCGGCCACACUGGAACUGAGACACGGUCCAGACUCCUACGGGAGGCAGCAGUAGGGAAUCUUCCGCAAUGGGCGAAAGCCUGACGGAGCAACGCCGCGUGAGUGAUGAAGGUCUUCGGAUCGUAAAACUCUGUUAUUAGGGAAGAACAAAUGUGUAAGUAACUAUGCACGUCUUGACGGUACCUAAUCAGAAAGCCACGGCUAACUACGUG